rnacentral:rRNA from 1 species
GAUGAACGCUGGCGGCGUGCUUAACACAUGCAAGUCGAACGGAAAGGCCAGUGCUUGCACUGGUACUCGAGUGGCGAACGGGUGAGUAACACGUGGGUGAUCUGCCCUGCACUUCGGGAUAAGCCUGGGAAACUGGGUCUAAUACCGGAUAGGACAAUGGUUUGGAUGCCGUUGUGGAAAGUUUUUUCGGUGUGGGGUGAGCUCGCGGCCUAUCAGCUUGUUGGUGGGGUAGUGUCCUACCAAGGCGUCGAGGGGUAGCCGGUCAGAGAGGGUGUACGGACACUGGGGGACAGAGACGGGGCACAGACUCAUGCGGGGGAGAAGAGGGGGAAAUAUUACACAGGGGGCGAGCGUGAGACGGAGAAGCGGCGUGGGGGGGGAGGGGGUCCGGGGGGUGUAAACCGCUUGCGAGUGACAAGGCGCGUUUGUGACGGUACCUGGAGAAGAAGCACCGGCUAACUACGUG